rnacentral:tRNA from 1 species
AAGAUACUAGUAUAGUUGAUAGCACACUGCUUUGUCAGGGCAGAAUCGUGGGUUCAAACCCCACGUAUCUUA